AUCUCGUCCCCCGGUGGGGCCUCAUGUCCCCCCCCCCCCGGGGCGUUUCCCCGCCCCCCCGGCCCGGCCCCCCCCGGGGCGGUUCCCACCGUGUGUCCCCCCCCCGCUCAGUGUCCCCCUCGGUGUCCCCUGCGUGUCCCCUCAGUGUCCCCCCCCGAUGGCGCCGGGCCCCGCUCUGCUGCUCGCGGCGCUGCUGGCGCUGCCCGCCCCGGGCUCCCCCGCCUCCCCGCCCGGGGGUCCCGGCCCCCCCCGGCUCCGCGUCCGUUUCUCCCCCCCCCGCUGCUGCCCCGGGGGUCGCUGCGCCCCCGGGUGUCGCCCCCGGGCCGGGGGGGACCCGGAGGCGGCGGGGGCGCGGCGACAGCAACGUCACCGUGGUGGUGCUGGAGAGCGGCCGGGCCCCCGGGCAGCGGCUUCAGGCUCGUGCUGUGCCCGCUGCUCUGCCGGAACGGGGGGGUCUGCGCCCACCCCCAGCGCUGCCUGUGCCCCCCCCAGUUCACCGGGAAGUUUUGUCACCUCCCCUCGGGCAACGGCACCAAAGAGAGCGCCCCAAACCCGCGGGGGGCGCCCCCAAAUCCCCGCAACGUCCACGGGGGGGCGCCCCCAAAUCCCCGCAACGUCCACGGGGGGGCGCCCCAAGCCUUGACCCGCUCCAUCUACACCCUGCCCCUGAGCAACCACCGCGACGAGGAGGAUGGCGCGCAGUCCAUGGUGAGCGUGCUGGUGCGGCACCCGCCGCACGCCACGGUGACGAUCCACAGCGUGGAGCGGGUGCGGGGCGGCGGCGGCCGCGACCCCUCCCCAGCGCCCCCCACCCCCCCCCCCCGCGAGCCCCCCGCCCCAAUUCCGGGUGCUCGCACAGAGGGGACCCGGCCGGGACCCCCCCGCCGGCGAGAACUCGGGGUUCGGGUAUUGCUUCAGGCAGCUGCGGGGGGGGCAGUGCAGCUCCCCCCUGCCCGGGCUCCGCACCCGGGACAUUUGCUGCCGCGGCGGCGGCGGCGUCGCCUGGGGCGUCCGCGAGUGUCACCCGUGCGACGGCCACGCCCAGCCGUGCCCGCCGGGAUUCCAGCGGCAGAACGGAACCUGCGUGGACGUGGACGAGUGCCAGGAGGGGGCGCUGUGCCAGCUCGGGCUCUGCACCAACACCCGCGGCAGCUUCGCCUGCCUGUGCCCGCCGGGCUUCCUGCUGGAUUCGUCCCGCUCCCGCUGCAUCUCCCAGCAGGUGCUGUCCGAGGCCCGCGGGCCGUGUUUCCGCCUCCUGCGGGACGGCCCUGGCCGCUGCUGCGCGCUGCCCACCCUGCGCAACAUCACCCGCCAGGUUUGCUGCUGCAGCCGCGUGGGCAAAGCCUGGGGGGGCUCCUGCCUGCUCUGCCCCCCCUUCGGAUCCGAGGGGUUCCGGGAGCUCUGCCCGGCCGGGCCCGGCUAUCACUACUCGGCCUCGGACCUGCGGAUCAGCGCUCAGUACCUGGGCCAGGAAAUUGGGGCGGGGGUCCCGCUGGGGCCGCCCCCCCUCAGCACCCCCCCCGCGACCCCCGGUGAGCGCCCCAAAAAAAUCCGGGAAAAAAAAACCCAAAAAAAUCACAAAAAAACCCAAAAA
rnacentral:lncRNA from 1 species